rnacentral:rRNA from 1 species
UACGUAGGGUGCGAGCGUUAAUCGGAAUUACUGGGGCGUAAAGCGUGCGCAGGCGGUCUGUUAAGACCGAUGUGAAAAUCCCCGGGCUUAACCUGGGAACUGCAUUGGUGACUGGCAGGCUUUGAGUGUGGCAGAGGGAGGUAGAAUUCCACGUGUAGCAGUGAAAUGCGUAGAGAUGUGGAGGAAUACCGAUGGCGAAGGCCAGCCUCCUGGGCCAACACUGACGCUCAUGCACGAAAGCGUGGGGAGCAAACA